AAAGGCUGUGUGACCCUCCCCGCCUCCCCUUUCCACCCCAGGUCUCUCUGUGUGAUCCCUGCCCACACCCCACACUCCCAUUCUUGACAUUCUUGUACUCCAGUGGCCCCUCUGAUUUGGGUGCUGCUCUAGCCCCACUGUGGAGAAGGCAAUGGCACCCCACUCCAGUACUCUUGCCUGGAAAAUCCCAUGGACGGAGGAGCCUGGCAGGCUGAAGUCCAUGGGAUCGCCAAGAGUCGGACGCGACUGAGCGACUUCACUUUCACUUUUCACUUUCAUACAUUGGAGCAGGAAAUGGCAACCCACUCCAGCGUUCUUGCCUGGAGAAUCCCAGGGACGGGAGAGCCUGUGUGGGCUGCCGUCUAUGGGGUCGCACAGAGUCAGACACGACUGAAGUGACUUAGCAGCAGCAGCAGCAGCUAGCCCCACUGAUGGAAGCAUUUUGCUCUGGUACCGCCCCAGCGGCCUGGCAGAGUCAUCCCAGGAUGGACGCCAGCGGUGCCUCAGGAUUUCCUGAGGGCAGAGUCCUGCUUGUCCGACUGUCUCAGCAGGUUCUAGCAACAGGCUUAAUUGUGAAGAUCACCACUCCAGGACUUGCAAGGGCACAGAAGUAGGUACCUUCCUGAACAGCUGUUGAGCCUGGUUCAAACACUUCAUUCCAGUGUCUCUGCUAACCGAACGUGGAAAACAGUCUAGUCAGCCUGAGUGCUGAGGCAUAUAUGUGGAAGACGUGCGCCAUCCUUGAGGAGCUCCCUGUGGGGAAAGUGACCAUUAAUAAAACAUUAAAGAGGUCUAGGGGUAGGGUAAAGGGUAUGAAGUGGCUGCUGUGGAUCCUGCAAGAUGUUCACCUCAGGAGUCUAGAAAGGCUUCCUGGAGGAAUGAUACUUAAAUUCAGUUUAGGGAGACAGGUCCUUAAGGAUUUGCAGCCCUUAGGGCAGGGGUCCCCAACUUCCAGGAUCUAUAAAGUACACAAUAAGUGCACUUGAAAUAUCCUGAAACCAUCCCCUUCCCCCCAACGCCUGGUCCAUGGAAAAAUUGUCUUCCAGUCCCUGGUGCCAGAAAGGUUGGGGACUGCUGAUUUGGGGGUUCAGAAUGCACCAAAGCAAAAGAAUUGUUCUGGCCAUUUCACUCAGUCAGCCAUUGCACAGAGGAGUGUGUGAGGAGCGUAGUUGGGUGGGCAGACACCAGAAUAGGAAAGCCCUUAUGUUUUAGCCAAGGAGGUGAGCUUUACCCUACAGUCACAGAUCCAUUGGAUCAUAAGUCAGGAGAAUGACAUGGCAAGGAUCGUCCUUGAUGAGGAUCGCUCUGUAAGUAAGUUAGUGGUGGAGAGAGACUGGGGACAGUAGGGCCAAUUAGAGAACUGCUGUGCUCAUCCUCCAGGCAGGAGGGAGUGGUAAGAGAGGACCCAGCAGCAAAGGAGAAAGACGCAGAGAAAGAAUGAGUGGCUCUCGGUGGGAAUACGGGAAGUGACCUGGAUUCGGCUCCGGGAGACUGCCCAACGUGGCAAGAGGAGGGAAGGAGCAGCCCAGCAGGGAGAUGGGGCUGUUAAACGACCCCCAACAGUCAGCACCCAGGAUGAAGGCGUGGUCUCUGCCUGGGUUGUUGCUGUUCUUGUGUCAGAGGACAAAGAGAAGACAGUGGAAGCACUCAGACUCUUGGAGUGUCUGCUCAGAAAUGUCACACUUCAUCUUAAUCCACAUUUUUUAUUGACAAAGCUAGUCACAUGACCCAGCCUGACAUUCCUGGGAACCUCAAAGGCUGUGCAGCCUCUGACAGUGUCUCGAGCAGCCAACCUUGAUUUAUCCUGUGCAUCCACCUGGUUGCAAAGUGAAGCCUGGAUCCUGGGUCCCAGAAGGAAGGUGGCAUCUACCGAAAAUGGCUUUGCUGGAGAAGGAAAAGUCAGGAUCUGUCAGUGUUGGGAUCUGGCUCGAUAUCUGUCUAUUUAUGUAUUUGUUCUACAUUGGCAAAUAGAAGCGUGGAUAAAUAUCUUUAAAUCCUCUUAGGGAUUUUGCAGAUUUUGCAUUAGUGAGUGAGAGCAGUUGUAGACAUUGGCACUCUGCUAGAUUUCUUAAUGUUCAGAAGUCAAGUAAAAAUUUUGAUGACUAAAUGGAAGAACCAGGAAGAGUUUAUGUUGGCAUGGGGAUUGCUAUUGCUCUCUUUGACUAUAGAACUUGAUCAGUUUACUUAUUAAGUAGGAAACUAAAAAGAACAUUGUAAUACAUGUGCAUUCAACAGACGUAUCACCACUUGAAAUGUGCAAGGCAUUGUGCUAGGCUUGCAGGAAGAAAAGCUGCAUGAAAAAAAUACCACCUGUUCUCAAGGUACAUGCCGUCCACUGGGGAGACAGACACCUAC
ensembl:lncRNA